CAGCAGUUUGGGUGGGGUUAGGGGUUCAGGAAGUUGAAGGCAGGGUCAAACCGUUUUCUCUUUUGAACUUGGAAUUUGUCAGAAUGCACUUUUUCUUUGGCAGGUCAGCGUCGAUUUCGGAGGUUGUAAAAUACUUGGGGAAAAGUAGCUCUGCUUCGGGAGAGUGUUAUAGACCUUGGGUGAUGCGGCCUGCGGGAUCGAGGAUUGCAGCAAAUGCUUUUGGCUUGUCGCCUGAUCUCUGGACGUCAUCUCGCUUGUAUCAACAUUCUUGGUACCGGUGAGUAAUGGUGCUCAUAGGUUAGAGCGAUCAAAAAUUUGCUAAGGAUGCUGACGUA
rnacentral:rRNA from 1 species